ensembl:miRNA
AAGUAAAAAUUAAUAUGAAACUGACUGAAUAGGUAGGGUAAUUUUUCAGUGACUGCACAUGGCCCUACAUAUUCAGUCAGUUUCAUAUUAGUUUAUUUCAUAUUGAUAAGU